GAUGAACGCUGGCGGCGUGCCUAAUACAUGCAAGUCGAGCGAACGGACGAGAAGCUUGCUUCUCUGAUGUUAGCGGCGGACGGGUGAGUAACACGUGGAUAACCUACCUAUAAGACUGGGAUAACUUCGGGAAACCGGAGCUAAUACCGGAUAAUAUUUUGAACCGCAUGGUUCAAAAGUGAAAGACGGUCUUGCUGUCACUUAUAGAUGGAUCCGCGCUGCAUUAGCUAGUUGGUAAGGUAACGGCUUACCAAGGCAACGAUGCAUAGCCGACCUGAGAGGGUGAUCGGCCACACUGGAACUGAGACACGGUCCAGACUCCUACGGGAGGCAGCAGUAGGGAAUCUUCCGCAAUGGGCGAAAGCCUGACGGAGCAACGCCGCGUGAGUGAUGAAGGUCUUCGGAUCGUAAAACUCUGUUAUUAGGGAAGAACAUAUGUGUAAGUAACUGUGCACAUCUUGACGGUACCUAAUCAGAAAGCCACGGCUAACUACGUGCCAGCAGCCGCGGUAAUACGUAGGUGGCAAGCGUUAUCCGGAAUUAUUGGGCGUAAAGCGCGCGUAGGGCGGUUUUUUAGUCUGAUGUGAAAGCCCACGGCUCAACCGUGGAGGGUCAUUGGAAACUGGAAAACUUGAGUGCAGAAGAGGAAAGUGGAAUUCCAUGUGUAGCGGUGAAAUGCGCAGAGAUAUGGAGGAACACCAGUGGCGAAGGCGACUUUCUGGUCUGUAACUGACGCUGAUGUGCGAAAGCGUGGGGAUCAAACAGGAUUAGAUACCCUGGUAGUCCACGCCGUAAACGAUGAGUGCUAAGUGUUAGGGGGUUUCCGCCCCUUAGUGCUGCAGCUAACGCAUUAAGCACUCCGCCUGGGGAGUACGACCACAAGGUUGAAACUCAAAGGAAUUGACGGGGACCCGCACAAGCGGUGGAGCAUGUGGUUUAAUUCGAAGCAACGCGAAGAACCUUACCAAAUCUUGACAUCCUUUGACAACUCUAGAGAUAGAGCUUUCCCCUUCGGGGGACAAAGUGACAGGUGGUGCAUGGUUGUCGUCAGCUCGUGUCGUGAGAUGUUGGGUUAAGUCCCGCAACGAGCGCAACCCUUAAGCUUAGUUGCCAUCAUUAAGUUGGGCACUCUAAGUUGACUGCCGGUGACAAACCGGAGGAAGGUGGGGAUGACGUCAAAUCAUCAUGCCCCUUAUGAUUUGGGCUACACACGUGCUACAAUGGACAAUACAAAGGGCAGCGAAACCGCGAGGUCAAGCAAAUCCCAUAAAGUUGUUCUCAGUUCGGAUUGUAGUCUGCAACUCGACUACAUGAAGCUGGAAUCGCUAGUAAUCGUAGAUCAGCAUGCUACGGUGAAUACGUUCCCGGGUCU
rnacentral:rRNA from 1 species